rnacentral:rRNA from 1 species
GCUUAGAGAGGGGUCAAUGUCCUAUCAGCUAGUUGGUAGGGUAAUGGCCUACCAAGGCUAAGACGGGUAGCCGGCCUGAGAGGGUGGUCGGCCACACUGGGACUGAGACACUGCCCAGACUCCUACGGGAGGCUGCAGUCGAGAAUCUUUCGCAAUGCCCGAAAGGGUGACGAAGCGACGCCGCGUGUGGGAAGAAGGCCUUCGGGUUGUAAACCACUGUCGGGAGUUAAGAAAUGCAAGGGUGUUAAUAGCACCCUUGCUUGACUAAGGCUCCGGAGGAAGCCACGGCUAACUCUGUGCCAGCAGCCGCGGUAAUACAGAGGCGGCAAGCGUUGUUCGGAAUUAUUGGGCGUAAAGAGCACGUAGGCGGCUUUGUAAGUCAGUUGUGAAAGCCUUCUGCUCAACGGAAGAACAGCAUCUGAUACUGCAAGGCUAGAGUGCGGAAGGG